UUGCAGGGUUGGAGGUCGGAUGUGGAAGGCGCGCUCCGCGCAGCCCGUGUCUCAACUGUCGGAUGGCAACCCUCCCCUCCCCCCAAAGCUUAAGGACACUGAGUUGGCGCGGGCGAAACUGUGAAGAAACAGGCGCUCUGACACGUUGCCGGUGGAACUCCAAAAUGGUAACCGUUUAAGUCACCCAGGAUUAGGGUGGCCCAUAACUUACUGCUGAGACUGAACCACUUCUGAGAGUACCAGAAUGUUAACUGGAUGAGAAAGCAAGAAACAGCCCUGAACACUCAUGAAGGAGGCUACUCCAUCAGAGAGAGAGACCACAUGAAGGAGCACUGAGACAUCAGCCAUGAGGUGACGAUGCCAUCUUGGACACCCAGCCCCAUCAAACCUGCAGAAGAUCCCAGCCCCAGUUCUUAUCCAAAUGCAGGUACACCUGAGAGCAUGGAGAACCACCCAGAUGCAUCAACCCACAGAUUCCUGAGAGAUCAUGAUAAAUAGCUGUAUCAAGACUCUAAGUUCUGGUUUGUGCUCAAGGCUUCUUGGGGACCUCUGUGUCUCAUGUUUGUGUUGUAGUAAAGCUUUGUGCUUUGACUUUUAAAAUAUAAACUGAUAAAAACAA